AACGCGUGGGUAAUCUACCCCCGAAUUUGGGAUAACUCCGCGAAAGCGGGGCUAAUACCGGAUAAUAUCUUAUUGACUUUGGUUACUAUGAUCAAAGGUGGCCUCUACUUGUAAGCUACUGUUUGGGGAUGAGCCCGCGUACCAUUAGCUUGUUGGUAGGGUAAUGGCCUACCAAGGCGACGAUGGUUAGCUGGUCUGAGAGGAUGAUCAGCCACACUGAAACUGACACACGGUCCAG
rnacentral:rRNA from 1 species